rnacentral:rRNA from 1 species
GGAAUAUUGCACAAUGGCGGAAACUCUGAUGCAGCAACGCCGCGUGGAGGAUGACGCAUUUCGGUGUGUAAACUCCUUUUAAGAGGGAAGAUAAUGACGGUACCUCUUGAAUAAGCACCGGCUAACUCCGUGCCAGCAGCCGCGGUAAUACGGAGGGUGCAAGCGUUACUCGGAAUCACUGGGCGUAAAGGGUGCGUAGGCUGGCUUCUAAGUCAGAUGUGAAAUCCAAUGGCUUAACCAUUGAACUGUAUUUGAAACUGGAAGCCUAGAGUUCAGAAGGGGCAGAUGGAAUUAGUGGUGUAGGGGUAAAAUCCGUAGAUAUCACUAGGAAUAUCAAAAGCGAAGGCGAUCUGCUGGGAUGAUACUGACGCUGAGGCACGAAAGCGUGGGGAGCAAACAG